rnacentral:rRNA from 2 species
CGUGACGGCGCGAGCAGGUGCGAAAGCAGGUCAUAGUGAUCCGGUGGUUCUGAAUGGAAGGGCCAUCGCUCAACGGAUAAAAGGUACUCCGGGGAUAACAGGCUGAUACCGCCCAAGAGUUCAUAUCGACGGCGGUGUUUGGCACCUCGAUGUCGGCUCAUCACAUCCUGGGGCUGAAGUAGGUCCCAAGGGUAUGGCUGUUCGCCAUUUAAAGUGGUACGCGAGCUGGGUUUAGAACGUCGUGAGACAGUUCGGUCCCUAUCUGCCGUGGGCGCUGGAGAACUGAGGGGGGCUGCUCCUAGUACGAGAGGACCGGAGUGGACGCAUCACUGGUGUUCGGGUUGUCAUGCCAAUGGCACUGCCCGGUAGCUAAAUGCGGAAGAGAUAAGUGCUGAAAGCAUCUAAGCACGAAACUUGCCCCGAGAUGAGUUCUCCCUGACCCUUUAAGGGUCCUGAAGGAACGUUGAAGACGACGACGUUGAUAGGCCGGGUGUGUAAGCGCAGCGAUGCGUUGAGCUAACCGGUACUAAUGAACCGUGAGG